CAGCCGCCACGGUAAUACGUAUGUCACAAGCGUUAUCCGGAUUUAUUGGGCGUAGAGCGCGUCUAGGUGGUUAUGUAAGUCUGAUGUGAAAAUGCAGGGCUCAACUCUGUAUUGCGUUGGAAACUGUGUAACUAGAGUACUGGAGAGGUAAGCGGAACUACAAGUGUAGAGGUGAAAUUCGUAGAUAUUUGUAGGAAUGCCGAUGGGGAAGCCAGCUUACUGGACAGAUACUGACGCUAAAGCGCGAAAGCGUGGGUAGCAAACAGGAUUAGAUACCCCAGUAGUCCCUGGUCUCUUAUAC
rnacentral:rRNA from 1 species